rnacentral:misc_RNA from 1 species
UCUUUGAACAUUUGAAUAAGAAUAAUGAAAAACUGAGAAACUGUAUAAAGCUCCCAAGGCUUUUUCAAGUGAAAACAACAAGUAGAAACAAGUUUUCCUUAUUGAUCCCUUAACAAUUCAAACAAGAACAACAUCAAAUACUUCCAUAAUAACCAAAAGGAUGCUGCAAAUCUGAUGGUUGUUAAUCAAAGAGGGCCUGGGAAAGUCCCGUUCUCCCUCUGCUCGUUCCACUUAUCAACCCAUUCACCAGGGCAAAGUGCACGGUAGUAUUUUGCGAAUCUUGCACAGUCAGCAGCCUCAUCACCCUUUGCAGCAACGCACCUAUGAAACUCAACGUAGCGAGUGAAACAGUGCCUAGUUUGGUUGGUUGUUGGGAACCGGAAAUCAGCUGGGGCAGUCUUAAGUUCAAUCUCGGCCAUGGCUGAUGCAAAUCAAUGCGAGAAGAAGCUUCAAAAUUG